CCUAGCUGACCAGUUAUCCACUGAAGAAAAGCAGAUCAGAGGAGCUGUAGUGUUUCCAUGAAGGAUAACAAUCUAUCUAAAGAAAAGUUCUGACAAAGUCAAACGUCAAAGGGAAAGAUUUCCAGAAGUGAACGGAAAAGGAGUGAGUAGAAAGAAGAAGAGCAGAAAAACGGUGAUCCAGACAGGACUGGUGGCAAGUUUGGUUAGAGGCAGCAAGCAUGUGUAGUGCGGCUGGUGAAGGUAGAGCGGAGCUGGAAUGCAGCGUCCUGGAAGAGGACUGGCAGAGAGGACAGAGAUAUAUGGCUCAAUGGCACAGCGUCACCCUCUUGCCACAACAUCAGCAGAGGCCAAGCGUGACGGAGGAAGAGCACUCAGGAAAACACGGGGAGGCCAGGAGGCUCCUCCAGCGUUUCCUUUCUGGGGCCAUCAGCAGGAAUUACCUACAUCCCAAAACGCAACCGACCAGACGACCCCAUCAGUCUACGUUCAACCCGUCUGCGACUGGGCCGAAGGUGCAACAAGCUAAUAUCAUAUUAUAUGCAACCACAGGAGCAAAGAGCACUGCUUAAGAUACAAGUGAGAGAAUGGGAAAGAUGAAAAAGUUGCCAAGGUUCCUGGUCGGAAUUUUUUGCCCUUGAAAAAAUAUUUUAACAAAUGCAAAAUGUGUAUUCUUGUUUUCAGUUUGAGGAAUUACUAUAGUUCAUUUAUGCAAUACAACUAGUUUCUUGUUGCAAUAUAAUUUGUUUUGUUGGUUAAAUUAUGACAUGUAAAAAUAAUCAGUAUGUUUGAUUGUUUGUUACUGUUGCAGAGAGAUUCCACUUUAUAGUAACAGUAGUAUUUUUCGUUGUUUGUUUCAAGAUUAGCAUUAGCAUAGAUUUUGAUAUAGCGAUGUGUACAAUUGAAGAAAUUAUGAGAUCAAAAAUAAAACUUCCAUGUAUUUAA